UGUAUAAUGGGUCAGCGACUUAUAUUCUGUAGCAAGGUUAACCGAAUAGGGGAGCCGAAGGGAAACCGAGUCUUAACUGGGCGUUAAGUUGCAGGGUAUAGACCCGAAACCCGGUGAUCUAGCCAUGGGCAGGUUGAAGGUUGGGUAACACUAACUGGAGGACCGAACCGACUAAUGUUGAAAAAUUAGCGGAUGACUUGUGGCUGGGGGUGAAAGGCCAAUCAAACCGGGAGAUAGCUGGUUCUCCCCGAAAGCUAUUUAGGUAGCGCCUCGUGAAUUCAUCUCCGGGGGUAGAGCACUGUUUCGGCAAGGGGGUCAUCCCGACUUACCAACCCGAUGCAAACUGCGAAUACCGGAGAAUGUUAUCACGGGAGACACACGGCGGGUGCUAACGUCCGUCGUGAAGAGGGAAACAACCCAGACCGCCAGCUAAGGUCCCAAAGUCAUGGUUAAGUGGGAAACGAUGUGGGAAGGCCCAGACAGCCAGGAUGUUGGCUUAGAAGCAGCCAUCAUUUAAAGAAAGCGUAAUAGCUCACUGGUCGAGUCGGCCUGCGCGGAAGAUGUAACGGGGCUAAACCAUGCACCGAAGCUGCGGCAGCGACGCUUAUGCGUUGUUGGGUAGGGGAGCGUUCUGUAAGCCUGCGAAGGUGUGCUGUGAGGCAUGCUGGAGGUAUCAGAAGUGCGAAUGCUGACAUAAGUAACGAUAAAGCGGGUGAAAAGCCCGCUCGCCGGAAGACCAAGGGUUCCUGUCCAACGUUAAUCGGGGCAGGGUGAGUCGACCCCUAAGGCGAGGCCGAAAGGCGUAGUCGAUGGGAAACAGGUUAAUAUUCCUGUACUUGGUGUUACUGCGAAGGGGGGAC
rnacentral:rRNA from 1 species